GGGUCAGUAGGUUGGUCGUGCCACCGGUACGUACUGGUCUCACUGAUUCCUCCUUCCUGAAGAACCGUGAUGCCAUUAAUUUGGUGUUGCGGGGAAACAGGACUGUUACUUUGAAAAAAUUAGAGUGUUUAAAGCAAGCUAACGCUUGAAUACAUUAGCAUGGAAUAGUGAAAUAGGACGAUCGAUCCUAUUUUGUUGGUUUCUAGGAUUGACGUA
rnacentral:rRNA from 1 species